UACGUAGGGGGCAAGCGUUGUCCGGAAUCAUUGGGCGUAAAGAGCGUGUAGGCGGCCCGAUAAGUCCGCCGUGAAAGUCCAGGGCUCAACCCUGGAAUGCCGGUGGAAACUGUCGGGCUGGAGUCCGGAAGAGGCGAGUGGAAUUCCUGGUGUAGCGGUGAAAUGCGCAGAUAUCAGGAGGAACACCGAUUGCGGAGGCAGCUCGCUGGGACGCGACUGACGCUGAGACGCGAAAGCGUGGGGAGCAAACAGG
rnacentral:rRNA from 1 species